rnacentral:rRNA from 1 species
AGAAGGGAGCUUGCUCCCGGAUGUUAGCGGCGGACGGGUGAGUAACACGUGGGUAACCUGCCUGUAAGACUGGGAUAACUCCGGGAAACCGGAGCUAAUACCGGAUAGUUCCUUGAACCGCAUGGUUCAAGGAUGAAAGACGGUUUCGGCUGUCACUUACAGAUGGACCCGCGGCGCAUUAGCUAGUUGGUGAGGUAACGGCUCACCAAGGCAACGAUGCGUAGCCGACCUGAGAGGGUGAUCGGCCACACUGGGACUGAGACACGGCCCAGACUCCUACGGGAGGCAGCAGUAGGGAAUCUUCCGCAAUGGACGAAAGUCUGACGGAGCAACGCCGCGUGAGUGAUGAAGGUUUUCGGAUCGUAAAGCUCUGUUGUUAGGGAAGAACAAGUGCAAGAGUAACUGCUUGCACCUUGACGGUACCUAACCAGAAAGCCACGGCUAACUACGUGCCAGCAGCCGCGGUAAUACGUAGGUGGCAAGCGUUGUCCGGAAUUAUUGGGCGUAAAGGGCUCGCAGGCGGUUUCUUAAGUCUGAUGUGAAAGCCCCCGGCUCAACCGGGGAGGGUCAUUGGAAACUGGGAAACUUGAGUGCAGAAGAGGAGAGUGGAAUUCCACGUG